GAUGAACGCUAGCGACAGGCUUAACACAUGCAAGUCGAGGGGCAUCAUGAGGUAGCAAUACCUUGAUGGCGACCGGCGCACGGGUGAGUAACGCGUAUGCAACCUGCCCGAUACCGGGGUAUAGCCCAUGGAAACGUGGAUUAACACCCCAUAGUACUUUUAUCCUGCCUGGGAUGGGAGUUAAAUGUUCAAGGUAUCGGAUGGGCAUGCGUCCUAUUAGUUAGUUGGCGGGGUAACAGCCCACCAAGACGAUGAUAGGUAGGGGUUCUGAGAGGAAGGUCCCCCACAUUGGAACUGAGACACGGUCCAAACUCCUACGGGAGGCAGAAGUUAGGAAUAUUGGUCAAUGGACGUAAGUCUGAACCAGCCAAGUCGCGUGAGGGAAGACUGCCCUAUGGGUUGUAAACCUCUUUUAUAAGGGAAGAAUAAGUUCUACGUGUAGAAUGAUGCCUGUACCUUAUGAAUAAGCAUCGGCUAACUCCGUGCCAGCCGCCGCCGUAA
rnacentral:rRNA from 1 species